rnacentral:rRNA from 1 species
GGACUACCAGGGUUUCUAAUCCUGUUCGCUCCCCUAGCUUUCGCACCUGAGCGUCAGGUAAGGCCCAGAGAUCCGCCUUCGCCACCGGUGUUCCUCCUGAUAUCUGCGCAUUUCACCGCUACACCAGGAAUUCCGAUCUCCCCUACCUACCUCUAGUCGGGCAGUUUCGGAUGCAGGCCCGAAGUUGAGCUUCGGGUUUUCACAUCCGACUUGCCAAACCGCCUGCGUGCUCUUUACGCCCAAUGAAUCCGGACAACGCUCGCCUCCUACGUCUUACCGCGGCGGCUGGCAC